GAUUGAACGCUGGCGGCAUGCUUUACACAUGCACGUCGAACGGCAGCGCGGGCUUCGGCCUGGCGGCGAGUGGCGAGCGGGUGAGUAAUACAUCGGAACGUGCCCAGUAGUGGGGGAUAGCUCGGCGAAAGCCGGAUUAAUACCGCAUACGACCUGAGGGUGAAAGCGGGGGAUCUUCGGACCUCGCGCUAUUGGAGCGGCCGAUGGCAGAUUAGCUAGUUGGUGGGGUAAAGGCCUACCAAGGCGACGAUCUGUAGCUGGUCUGAGAGGACGACCAGCCACACUGGGACUGAGACACGGCCCAGACUCCUACGGGAGGCAGCAGUGGGGAAUUUUGGACAAUGGGCGAAAGCCUGAUCCAGCAAUGCCGCGUGUGUGAUGAAGGCCUUCGGGUUGUAAAGCACUUUUGGCGGGAACGAAAAGGACUGUGCCAAUACCACGGUUCGAUGACGGUACCCGCAGAAUAAGCACCGGCUAACUACGUG
rnacentral:rRNA from 1 species